rnacentral:lncRNA from 1 species
AUGGUGAUCACCCAGGUACAUUACCCUUAUUCUCCUUCAGGGAAGAUCGUGCUGCUGAAGCAUGGCCCCUUCAGCCAAGGUCCUGGCCUCCCCAGAUUUCCUGCCUCCAGGGAUGAGCAAAGGUGCAGAAGUAUGAAGACCCACCUGGAUCCCAAGGUUUUACAAAGACGUUACAUUAUCUUAAGAACAAGAGAACAUGGACGAGUGCAGAAAGUAAAUGCUCAAUGCCAGUGGCUGUUCCCUGAACAGUUCUCGGAAAGGUCAGAGCUUGCUGUCAGAGGUCACAAGAGAUGGCACAUGACUUCAUAAUAAAUGCAGGGUGGAAUAUUAUUUCAAAGAAACACUGGCAAUCAGAACAAGAUGCCUUUACUACUGUGGCAAUUACUACUGUUUGAGGAGGAGCCACUUUUGGUGAUUACACUAGUAUCAUCCAAAAAUGGAGCUUUUGAGUUUGCUCCAGUUUUUGAUAAAUUGAUUCUUACUGAAGAGGACUAAAAUCUCCAAGUAAGCAUUUAGUGUCUUAACACAUUAUCUUCUCAUCUAGAGGCAGCUUGAACCAGUGUCUUAAGUAAAGGGCUGGAGGCCAGGAAUUCUGAGACUGGAAAUAGUCUCAUAGAAAAAGCAUGGGUGAUGGGGUGUUAUUUAAACUUGAAUCUCACUUUGCCACCUAAUUGGCUCUGAACCUGCAGCCUUUAAUUUUAUUUUAUUUAUUUUAAUUUUUUUAAUUUAAUUAUUUUAUAUUGGAGUAUAGUUGAUUUACCGUGUUUUAUUAGUUUCAGGUGUACAGCAAAGUGGUUCAGUUACACAUAUACAUAUAUCCAUCCUUUUUCAGAUUCUUUUCCCAUAUAGGUCAUUACAGAAUAUCGAGCAGAAUUCUCUGUGCUAUACAGUAGGUCCCUGUUAAUUAUUUAUUUUAUAUCCAGGGGUGUUCAUGUGUUAAUCUCAAACUCCUAAUUGAAACUGCACCAUUUAAACUAACUCUCUGAGCCUCAAUUACUUAAUCUGUCAAACAAGGGUAGUGACACUUGCCGAGCAGAGUCAUUGUGAGCUUUAGCAUGUGUGCUAGAUACCAGGAAAUAUCAGGCACACAAAAAUAUUGACUUUUCUUACUGUUUGCUGAUGACUUAGAGCAAGUUCAUGCUACAUGAGAGGCAGUUUUCUGGAUCUGAAAACUUCCUGUAAGAAGUUAAUAGUUUAAUAGUUGUAACUCUUUCCCAUAUGCUAUACCAGAAAAAUACUUACUGACUGAAGUAACAGGGCAUUCAUCACCUCCUUUUGAAUGGGUAGAUUUAUCAGUAUAGCAUGUUUUCUUUCUAUACAAGAAUACAUCCAAACAAUCAGAUUCGUACUCUUUAAUAUGUUUUGUGGUUAUAUGCAUCAUAAUUUCAAAUAUAACAAUAGUUAACAUAAAAUCUUCUAUUACUUUUUUUUCUUUUUACGGCCACACCUGUGACAUAUUUCAGUUCCCAGGCUAGGGGUCAAAUUAGAGCUGCAGCUGCUGACCUAUACCACAGCUACAGUAACACCAGAUCUGAGCCACAUCUGCAACCUAUAGCACAGUUUGCAGCAAUGCUGUAUCCUUAACCCACUGAGUGAGGCCAGGGAUUGAACCUGCAUCUACAGGGAUACUAUGUCAAAUUCUUAACCUGCUGAGCCACAAAAGAACUCCCCCCCUCUUUUUUUCCUAUUACCUUUUAAUUCCUGUCCCAGACACACAUCUCUACUUUUCAAUAUUUGCCUUUUAUGUAUAAUAAAAUUCACUACCCUCAUAAAGAUGCUUUGUGC